UACAGAGGGUGCAAGCGUUGUUCGGAAUUAUUGGGCGUAAAGCGCGUGUAGGCGGCUUUGCAAGUCGGGUGUGAAAGCCCUCAGCUCAACUGAGGAAGUGCGCCCGAAACUGCAGAGCUUGAGUACCGGAGAGGAUGGUGGAAUUCCCCAAGUAGAGGUGAAAUUCGUAGAUAUGGGGAGGAACACCAGUGGCGAAGGCGGCGAUCUGGGAAGAUACUGACGCUGAGGUGCGAAAGCGUGGGGAGCAAACAGGG
rnacentral:rRNA from 1 species